CGGAGCCGUAGUUCAGCUUGGCCCAGAACGCCGGCCUGUCACGCCGGAGGUCGCGGGUUCGAAUCCCGUCGGCUCCGCCAU
rnacentral:tRNA from 1 species